rnacentral:lncRNA from 1 species
AUCUCCAUGGAUGCCCCGCAGUAUCUGAAUCUGGCUGAAUUUGCUCAUUGGCCGAUAACUAAGCAGAUUUCAUGGUGGUUUGUUUCUAUGCAAACUGGACACAAAUACAGCAAUGAAUUCUUUAUAAUGCCUUUCUACCCUUCCUCCCUGGAUGUGAAUUUGGAGAUAAGUGUUUCUUGAAGCAAAGACUCAGAGUUGUUGGCCAGGAGUACUGUGGUAGUGCAAACUGGCUGGGAGAGAGAUGUGCAGGCUGAGCCUGCUUGUCGAAGCAUCAAGGCCUCCAGUUUGCCGAGAUGCUGAGAUGCUGGUCCUGUCCUACUGUGUGCAGAAACUACUAAUGGUUUUGUAUAUCAGAGGCGGUAUUGUUUCAGCCUCUCCUGAUAAAGCCGUGGGGUGGGGCUGGGAAGUACUCUUUUGAGAAGACACAAACCAGACCUUCCUUCUUGUCCCCCACCUAAGAGAAAGGGCUGUCUGUUGUCAGUAAUCUGGCUUAUGUGCAUUUUGGGCACAUGUAACAACACACACAGAGUAAAUCCUUUGUCAGUCACGUGUUGCUGUUUAAUAUAGCAAAUGAUUGUCUUCCAUGUUUUUGUUUCUUUUAUUUUAACUGUGUUGAAGUACUUGAAAUGUAUUGACUGCUGAGAAUCUUUAAAAAAAAAAAACAUUUGAGUUAUACUACAGAGGUUGGCAUUGAUCAGGAAUGGGACAAAGUUUUCUUCAAUCUUCUUUUUUUUUCCAUACCACUUCACGAUUUUGGUGCAAGGACCUGAGAUUUUCUUCUUUAUAUUCUGUGAUGUUUCCCAUCUGCUCUCACAGCAGGAGCAUGAAGCCCAGUUGGUACAAAGCGACUGGAGACAGAAGACAGCCCUUGGGGAGUCUUCAGAUGAGUUUAUAUAGCUUCCUGGUAGCCUGACAUGAAUACCCUUUUGUAACAUAGGUGGAUGUGGCAGGCUGGGUUUGACUAGAGAGUUGGAUCUAUCUUAGUCCUGGCUCAUUUCACUGUGCUCUGCGGAUACACACAAGAAUCCUGAAUUCUGUUUCCUAGGCAAAUACUGCAACUCAGGGCUAAAGUCACCCAGUGAAUCCUUAGAGCCUGAAGUAACUUUGUCCCAGGCCUACAAUGCGUAUCAACUGCAGACUCGCCUCCGUGCAGCCAAGUUCAUGGCUGGUACAUAGCCGUACACAUUAUGUUUCACAAUCAGUACGCACUUUCAGGUAGUCUUAUUUUUAUUCUCUUAAGUCUUUAUUAACUUUGGAGAAAUGAUGCAUCUUUUUAUUUUAAAUGAAGUAGAUCAACAUGGUGGAACAAAAUGAUAAAGAACAGAAAACAUUUCAAUAUAUUACUAAUAAUGUUUUUCCAAUAUGAAACCUAAAAUUCCUAUAACAUAGUAUUUUACAGUUUUAUGAAGCUUUCUAUUGUGACUUUUAUGGAAUUAAGAGAUGAAGAAGAUGAGAUAUUUUAGCAUUUAUAUUUUUCAAAAUUAAAUGUAUACUUAAAAUAAAGUAACUUUAUG